UGUUGAAAUCUGGUGAGUCGAACUUGGCCAUUGGCAACUAGUUGUAUACUUACUCUACAAGACUUUGAAUCAUACGACAAAAUGGAAAUGUUGCCUUAAGAUUUGGAAUUUCUCGAAUUAGGAUUUAGGAUCAUGCUCUUUGAAAAUUGAAAAACACACACAUACUAAUCAAAAAUGGAAGGAGUAGGAAAUUAGAGUUUUCAUUCAUGGAGGAAGAAGAAUCAGAUCAACUACCCAACACGUUCAACGACUGGGAAUCUCUUCCCUCUUCCACCCAUUCUCACAAUCAAUCUACUCUUCAAACCCAUCAUUACAAUAACCAUAACAAUGACCACAAUCUGUCAAUCUUCCCACCCAUUAAUCAUGAAGGCCUCCCAGUUCCAUCCCUUCCUCUUCAUGCACCUCCUUCUUUCUCCAUUCCUAAUUCUAAGUCUAAUUCUUUGACUUCUUCCUCUUCUUCCCUACCCAAACCCUGCGACGUUUCCCCCUUUAGUACUUGGUUCAAUUUUGCCCUCCAUUUUUGGAAUUCUAAACUCACUCGCCUCCGUUCUCGUGGGGCUUUCUCAUUCAUUUUUCCCGUGGCUACUACGGUGUCGUUUCUGGGGUUUUUGUGGUUUUGGAUUCGGUGGCGGCGGAGGGUAUGUAGUUCUACUGGAAAGGAGAGUAUUGAUCGAUUGAAGGUUCUAAUUAAGGAAAAAGACGAGCUUUUAACGAAGGAAUGAUAAAUUGGGAGUUGCAGUAGCUACUUCGUUUGGAGUUCUUCACCUACCAAGCUCACGGCUGGAGCCUUGAUCUGACUUGCAAAGGGCAGGAUGGAUGGAGAUUAAGCAACAACUUUGAAUUGAUGAUUUGGUUUGGAAUAAAAGGAUACCUUGAACUUAAACUAUCAACAAAUUAUGAAUGGCUUGGAACAUUAACAAACAGAGAAGCUAGAAGAGUAUUGUCUGAACUUUGAAGAGAAAGGGAAAUAUAGUUCACUUUUCUGAUGGAUUGCUUUUACAUCACACCCGAUAUUUAUAUAUCGCUGAAGAUUAUUCAGCUCUUGGAACAGGUUGCUCAGAUGAAUAAGUUGUUGCUGGCAAGAUACAGAAUUCCAGUGCUGAGGAGUUGCUGAUUGUUUGGAAAAAUUUAUAACUAGCUGCAUUCAGGUAUAUGACUGUGUCAUUAGGAGCAACAAUCAGGUGUGCAUAUGUGUUAUAUUUGUAUUUACAUUCAUAAUUUAUCUACAACAUGAGGCUGAUUUGUAUAUAGGUGUUGUUCACGGUUCAGUUUGUAAUUUGUUAUGCUUGCACCACCAUUAUUGAUGAUGCCAUCAUAUAUUUGUGGAAGCAGACAACUAUUCUCUUAUUAUUACACAAGCUUUCUCUAAUAA